ensembl:lncRNA
CUCAGGAUACAUAUGACUACGUUGAAAUACAACAGUACGUAGGCUGAUUUCACAUCACGCCACUAUUGCAACCGGCACUCCCACCAGACCAUGACUCUUCAGUUUGACAACGGGUGUUGACGGCAAAACUGAAAAGUAAGGUGUUUCACUCCAGAUCAAGAAAAAGGGUUAAUCUCUCCCAUUCACCUAUCUCACGGUCAGAGUGCUUGGGGGAGAUGACAGCAGCAUGAAGGAGCAGCAGAAAAAGGAUUUAGAACCAUGGUGCCGGCUCUUAUCAAGAAGUUCUGCGUUGGGUUCCAUGACAUCCUCGUGCUUCCGGACAUCUCUAGGAGAUCUCAGCCCGAAGCGUCCUGAGAGGCACCAGUGAGACGCCAGUGAGGAACCAGUGAGGCGCCCUGACAACUGGUCCUUCUUUAUCUAAAAGACCAACGACAGACAGAACCACUUGAAUUAACAUGAACCACAGAAUAAAAAAUCUGUUUGUGCGUGUUUGUGUGCGUCAUGCCAAUUGGAAGGAGAUGUGUGUGUCCCAGUGUUCACUACUUGGCCCGGCUAGACUCCCUGUCACAUGAGCUGAGGCCUUCAGUUCUAAUGGUCAGAGGGAACCUAGAGAGUGUUCUCACGUUCUACUGCCAGCGAUCUGAUCCCUCUCACAUUCUACUGCUGCCCUCUGUAAUCAAGUCCAUAGCUUUGGUGAAACAUAUAUUUAAGAUGCUGAAUGCCGAUUCUCUAUCAUUAAUUUAAGUUCACAUCUUUUUUCACAAUAAUAGCAGAUGAGUGUUGUGUUAUUAUGCUGAAAAGGUAACCGUCCUGCCCAAACAUAAUAUUAUGGCCUUUUUCAUUGGAUGGUCACUGCAUUUGGGUUGCUUGAUUUAUUCAUUUUAAUGUCUAUUGUACGGAACAGGGUUAGGGCGAUUUGAUUCAUUUUUUUAUUUUGAAUAAAGUCAGAAUUAUUAUAAAUCUAAAUAAAUGCAUUCUCAGAAUUCAGAUGUUAUUCUCAGAACUCAAAUAUGAGAAUAAAAUCAGAAUUCAGAUGUUAUUCUUAGAACUCAAUUAUGAGAAUAAAAUCAGAAUUCUGAGAAUAAAACCUCGAAUUUAUUCUUAGAAUUCUGAUUUAAUUCUCAGAAUUCUCAGAGCUAGGCCUAUAAAAAUAUCACAUGUGGCCCUAAUUCUUCCGUAUUAUUGUAUUUCUUGAUUUACACAUGAAAAAUAUUAACUUGAACCAAUUCAUAUUUCUUACAACUUAAUUUACUUCACCCGAACGAUUUUCUUAUAUUUCUUUACUUUUA